rfam:Schistosoma margrebowiei strain Zambia genome assembly, scaffold: SMRZ_contig0001377
GCACAGUGCUGAGGAGUCCCACAAUAGGACGAAACGGCCGUCCUGUGC